AUUGAACGCUAGCGGGAUGCCUUACACAUGCAAGUCGAACGGAGUGGCGAACGGGCGAGUAAUGAAUCGGUACGUGCCCAGUAGCGGGGGAUAACUACGCGCAAGCGUAGCUAAUACCGCAUACUUUUGGACCGGUCGACCUCGGUUUAGCUAGUUGGUGGGUUAACGGCUCACCAAGGUGACGAUCCGUAGCUGGUUUGAGAGGACGACCAGCCACACUGGGACUGAGACACGGCCCAGACUCCUACGGGAGGCAGCAGUGGGGAAUUUUGCACAAUGGGGGAAACCCUGAUCCAGCCAUCCCGCGUGUGCGAUGAAGGCCUUCGGGUUGUAAAGCACUUUUGGCAGGGAAGCGGUACCUGCAGAAGAAGCACCGGCUAACUACGUGCCAGCAGCCGCGGUAAUUC
rnacentral:rRNA from 1 species